AUUGAACGCUGGCGGCAGGCCUAACACAUGCAAGUCGAACGGUAACAGGAAGCAGCUUGCUGCUUUGCUGACGCGUGGCGGACGGGUGAGUAAUGUCUGUGAAACUGCCCGAUGGCGGGGGAUAACUCCUGGAAACGGUAGCUAAUACCGCAUAACGUCGCAAGACCAAAGAGGGGUACCUUAGGGCCUCUUGCCAUCCGCUGUUCCCAGAUGGGAUUAGCUAGUAGGUGGGGUAACGGCUCACCUAGGCGACGAUCCCUAGCUGGUCUGAGAGGAUGACCAGCCACACUGGAACUGAGACACGGUCCAGACUCCUACGGGAGGCAGCAGUGGGGAAUAUUGCACAAUGGGCGCAAGCCUGAUGCAGCCAUGCCGCGUGUAUGAAGAAGGCCUUCGGGUUGUAAAGUACUUUCAGCGGGGAGGAAGGGAGUAAAGUUAAUACCUUUGCUCAUUGACGUUACCCGCAGAAGAAGCACCGGCUAACUCCGUG
rnacentral:rRNA from 1 species